AAAUGAUGAAAUCACCCAAAAUAGCUGGAAUUACUGGCAGAUUGUAUAGUGGUAAACUUACAGUUUUCUGAAG